rnacentral:rRNA from 1 species
GAUGAACGCUGGCGGCGUGCUUAACACAUGCAAGUCGAACGGAAAGGCUCCUGCUUGCAGGGGUACUCGAGUGGCGAACGGGUGAGUAACACGUGGGUGAUCUGCCCUGCACUUCGGGAUAAGCCUGGGAAACUGGGUCUAAUACCGGAUAGGACGAUGGUUUGGAUGCCAUUGUGGAAAGUUUUUCGGUGUGGGAUGAGCUCGCGGCCUAUCAGCUUGUUGGUGGGGUAAUGGCCUACCAAGGCGUCGACGGGUAGCCGGCCUGAGAGGGUGUACGGCCACAUUGGGACUGAGAUACGGCCCAGACUCCUACGGGAGGCAGCAGUCGGGAAUAUUGCACAAUGGGCGCAAGCCUGAUGCAGCGACGCCGCGUGGGGGAUGACGGCCUUCGGGUUGUAAACUCCGUUCGCUAGGGACGAAGCGCAAGUGACGGUACCUGGAGAAGAAGCACCGGCUAACUACGUG